AAAUCCGCUUUGAUAAUGCUGGGAUGUGAUGGGGAGCGAAAUUUAGUAGCGAAGUAGCUGAUUUCACACUGUCAAGAAAAGUCUCUAUCGAGGUUAAAGGUACCCGUACCGCAAACCGACACAGGUGGGUGAGGAGAGUAUCCUAAGGCCAGCGAGAGAACUGUUGUUAAGGAACUCGGCAAAAUGACCCCGUAACUUAGGGAUAAGGGGUGCCACCAUCAGGUGGCCGCAGAGAAUAGGCCCAAGCGACUGUUUACCAAAAACAUAGGUUUCUGCUAAGUCGCAAGACGAUGUAUAGGAGCUGACGCCUGCCCGGUGCUGGAAGGUUAAGGGGAUCUGUUAGAGCAAUCGAAGCAGUGAACUUAAGCCCCAGUAAACGGCGGCCGUAACUAUAACGGUCCUAAGGUAGCGAAAUUCCUUGUCGGGUAAGUUCCGACCCGCACGAAAGGCGUAACGAUUUGGGCACUGUCUCAACAACAGACUCGGUGAAAUUGUAAUUCCGGUGAAGAUGCCGGAUACCUGCGACAGGACGGAAAGACCCCAUGGAGCUUUACUGUAGCUUGACAUUGGGUCUUGGUACUACAUGUACAGGAUAGGUGGGAGGCUUUGAAACCAGGACGCCAGUUUUGGCGGAGCCAUCCUUGGGAUACCACCCUUGUAGUACUGGGACUCUAACCAUAGGCCAUGAAUCUGGUCUUGGGACACUGUCAGG
rnacentral:rRNA from 1 species